rnacentral:tRNA from 1 species
CAAGAAGUAGUUUAAGCAGAAUAUCAGCUUUGGGUGUUGAUGGUGAGGAGGUUUUCCUUCUUCUUGA